rnacentral:lncRNA from 1 species
AAAAAAAACAAGGCAUCAGUAUUGUUGAGUAUUAGCUUGUGCCUGGUCCGGGGCUGAGUUUGUCCGAGGAGGUGGAGGACGCAGCCGCCGGUGCCUGGCUCCGCACCCAGGGCGGGAGUUGGCGCCGACACAAAGCUGGGAGCUGUCCGCGGUGCUGAACCCGCGCGCCAGGAGGGGAAGGGCUCCUGGGACCAGCGGUCUCCUCUUUUCUUUCCUCCUGGGGCUCCUUCUUUGUGACCCCUGCCUUUCUAUGAGUUUCUUUCGUCUUUUUUUUUUUUUUUGCCUCAGCUGAUUAAAAAUGGUCUCUCCUUUCUCAAAUAAACACUGUAAUAAAG